CAGUGGCGGAGUGAAGGCGUGCGCCGGCCUCCUCGGUGUCCUGCGUCAAUGAAGUGAUUAAUGUGUGUUGUUACCACCGCCGGGGCGUCCAGGCGGCAUCAGUGACGUGAUUUGUGCCCGAAAUAACCGACUCCUGAUAACUAAUGUAUAUAGACGUCCAGGGAACUUCCAACUUGGUAAACGUUUGCUAUCUGAUAACAAGACUGAAAUAAAGUGAAACAGGAGACUGAAACAAAGUGAAACAGAACUAAAUUGAAAUAGAAAGUGAAACAGAACUAAAUUAGAAACAGAAAGUGAAUUAGAAUUAGACUGAAACAAAGUGAAACAAGACUGAAACACAAAGUGAAACAAGACUGAAACAAAAAGUGAAACAAGACUGAAACAAAAAGUGAAGCAAGACUGAAACAAAAAGUGAAACAAGACUGAAACAAAAAAUACAAGAGAAGAAAAUAGUGAAACAGAGAACCAUUCAACUGAAACUAGAACAAGAACUCUUUCACUUUCUAACAGCUUGUAAACGUUUCAGGAAGAGGAAUGUAAGAACAACAGUCAUGGAGCCGAAAAGUAUCAAACUGGAACGCGAGGGCGGGAAGGACGAUCUGGCCAAUCAGGAAGCGUCCAAUGACUCCCGCGCCCCGUCAUUGGUCCAGGGACUAACCAAUCAGGACUCGCGCAACACCCGCACC
rnacentral:lncRNA from 1 species